rnacentral:misc_RNA from 1 species
AUAAAACCAUAAGUUGAGAGGAAACUCUAACUGCAAAUGUGGAGAUAUCGAAGACAAAGGUGGACGACAAUUAAGGAUAGUGGCGAUUUAAAAGGGAUUUUUCUGUAGAUUCUCACUCUACAAUCUCUAUUUCUCUUUUUCGUUUUCGUUGGCUUACCUCCUUUUGUCAUUUUCUUCUCAUUUUUAUUGUUUUUCUUAUAGAAUUAGUUAGAUUGAAUGAAUAUUGUGUUUCUUGUGUUUUGAAUGAAUAUUGUGUACUGGAAAU